UGCUAUCAGAGUGGGACUAAGCCAUGCGAGUCGACGUAGCAAUGCGUGGCGGACGGCUCAGCAACACGUAGUCAACAUGCCCAGGGGACGUGGAUAACCUCGGGAAACUGAGAAUAAACCACGAUAGGUCACGAUUUCUGGAAUGGAUCAUGGCCUAAAUCUACAUGGCCCCUGGAUUGGACUGCGGCCGAUCAGGCAGUUGGUGAGGUAAUGGCCCACCAAACCUAUAACCGGUACGGGCUCUGAGAGGAGAAGCCCGGAGAUGGGCACUGAGACAAGGGCCCAGGCCCUAUGGGGCGCAGCAGGCGCGAAACCUCUGCAAUAGGCGAAAGCCUGACAGGGUUACUCUGAGUGAUUUCCGCUAAGGGGAUCUUUUGGCACCUCUAAAAAUGGUGCAGAAUAAGGGGUGGGCAAGUCUGGUGUCAGCCGCCGUGGUAAUACCAGCACCCCGAGUGGUCGGGACGAUUAUUGGGCCUAAAGCAUCCGUAGCCGGUUCUGCAAGUCUUCCGUUAAAUCCAGCCGCUCAACGGAUGGGCCGCGGAGGAUACUACAGGACUAGGAGGCGGGAGAGGCAAGCGGUACUCAGUGGGUAGGGGUAAAAUCCUUUGAUCCAUUGAAGACCACCAGUGGCGAAGGCGGCUUGCCAGAACGCGCUCGACGGUGAGGGAUGAAAGCUGGGGGAGCGAACCGGAUUAGAUACCCGGGUAGUCCCAGCUGUAAACGAUGCAGACUCGGUGAUGGGCUAGCCUUGUGCCGCCCCAGUGCCGCAGGGAAGCCGUUAAGCUAGCCGCCUGGGGAGUACGGCCGCAAGGCUGAAACUUAAAGGAAUUGGCGGGGGAGCACCACCAGGCGUGAAGCUGCGG
rnacentral:rRNA from 1 species